CCUGAACGCUGGCGGCGUGGCUAAGACAUGCAAGUCGCACGGUGUAGCAAUACACAGUGGCGAACGGGUGAGUAAUGAAUCGCUAAUGUACCCCGGACUCUGGGAUAGCCAUCCGAAAGGGUGGGUAAUACCAGAUGACAUAUCCUGCUCGCAUGAGUGGGAUCUCAAAGGUCCGCCGGUCUGGGAGCAGGCGAUUUCGUAUCAGCUAGUUGGUGGGGAACGGCCCACCAAGGCGACGACGCGUAGCCGGACUGAGAGGUUGGCCGGCCAC
rnacentral:rRNA from 1 species